AGAACGAACGCUGGCGGCAGGCUUAACACAUGCAAGUCGAACGGUUGUAGCAAUACAGCAGUGGCAGACGGGUGAGUAACACGUGGGAACCUUCCUAGGGGUACGGAACAACUCAGGGAAACUUGAGCUAAAUACCGUAUACGUCCGUGAGGAGAAAGUUUUAACGCCCCUAGACGGGCCCGCGUAGGAUUAGGUAGUUGGUGAGGUAACGGCUCACCAAGCCUACGAUCCUUAGCUGAUCUGAGAGGAUGAUCAGCCACACUGGGACUGAGACACGGCCCAGACUCCUACGGGAGGCAGCAGUGGGGAAUCUUGGACAAUGGGCGCAAGCCUGAUCCAGCCAUGCCGCGUGAGUGAAGAAGGCCUUCGGGUUGUAAAGCUCUUUUACCAGGGACGAUAAGUGACGGUACCUGGAGAAUAAGCCACGGCUAACUACGUGCCAGCAGCCGC
rnacentral:rRNA from 1 species